rnacentral:piRNA from 1 species
ACCCUUGAUGAUGUAGCUCAG